rnacentral:rRNA from 1 species
UACGUAGGGGGGCUAGCGUUGUCCGGAAUCAUUGGGCGUAAAGAGCGCGUAGGCGGCCAGAUAAGUCCGGUGUGAAAGUCAAAGGCUCAACCUUUGAAUGCCGCUGGAAACUGUCUGCUAGAGUCCGGAAGGGGCGAGUGGAAUUCCUGGUGUAGCGGUGAAAUGCGCAGAUAUCAGGAGGAACACCAAUGGCGAAGGCAGCUCGCUGGAACGGUACUGACGCUGAGGCGCGAAAGCGUGGGGAGCGAACAGG